UACGUAGGGGGCCAGCGUUGUCCGGAAUCAUUGGGCGUAAAGGGCGCGUAGGCGGCCUGUUAAGUCGAACGUGAAAUCCCCAAGCUCAACUUGGGAACUGCGUCCGAUACUGGCAGGCUUGAAUUCGGGAGAGGGAUGUGGAAUUCCAGGUGUAGCGGUGAAAUGCGUAGAUAUCUGGAGGAACACCGGUGGCGAAGGCGGCAUCCUGGACCGAUAUUGACGCUGAUGCGCGAAAGCCAGGGGAGCAAACGGG
rnacentral:rRNA from 1 species